rnacentral:rRNA from 1 species
AUCGGAUUACUGGGCGUAAGCGCGCGUAGGUGGCUUGAUAAGCCGGUUGUGAAAGCCCCGGGCUCAACCUGGGAACGGCAUCCGGAACUGUCAAGCUAGAGUGCAGGAGAGGAAGGUAGAAUUCCCGGUGUAGCGGUGAAAUGCGUAGAGAUCGGGAGGAAUACCAGUGGCGAAGGCGGCCUUCUGGACUGACACUGACACUGAGGUGCGAAAGCGUGGGUAGCAAACAGGAUUAGAUACCCUGGUAGUCCACGCCGUAAACGAUGUCGACCAGCCGGUGGGUGCCUAGCGCACUUUGUGGCGAAGUUAACGCGAUAAGUCGACCGCCUGGGGAGUACGGCCGCAAGGUUAAAACUCAA